GGACGAACGCUGGCGGCGUGCUUAACACAUGCAAGUCGAGCGGUAAGGCCCUUUCGGGGGUACACGAGCGGCGAACGGGUGAGUAACACGUGGGUGACCUGCCCUCAGCUUUGGGAUAAGCCUGGGAAACCCGGGUCUAAUACCGGAUAUGACUCCAUGACGCAUGUUGUGGGGUGGAAAGCCUUGUGCGGCUGAGGAUGGGCCCGCGGCCUAUCAGCUUGUUGGUGGGGUGAUGGCCACCAAGGCGACGACGGGUAGCCGGCCUGAGAGGGCCGACCGGCCACACUGGGGACUGAGACACGGCCCAGACUCCUACGGGAGGCAGCAGUGGGGAAUCUUGCGCAAUGGGCGAAAGCCUGACGCAGCGACGCCGCGUGAGGGAUGACGGCCUGU
rnacentral:rRNA from 1 species